UUACAAAAGAGGGAGCAGCAAUGGCC
rnacentral:piRNA from 1 species